rnacentral:lncRNA from 1 species
UGUAUCAAUCCGCGUGUAAAAAAACCACCGUCCACGCACUCCAACCGCAUUACUCAAUCAACGUCUUGCUACGCGUAAAAAUAUAGUUCUGUUAACAAAACUUUAAAGAUCACAUUAUUUCAGUUAUAUUUCUGUCUGAGUUACACAGCGUACACUAUCUAGCAUUGAUAAAAGAAGACAAUUUUCAAAAAAGGUUCAACAGGCUUUUUAAUCAAGGCUUGUUUUGACAAAACCUCUCAUUGACAAGACAACAGCCGUCGUGCAUCAGCAUGGACAUGAAUUUCACAUUGAGAAGAGGAAACACGGAAAACCUGUCAAUUUUUUCAUGUGUCAUUCGAUAAAAAUGCCAAAAACUGUAUCAACAACAUAGAAGGAAUGUACAGAAGUCAUGUUUGAUUGAGAAAAGUUACGAAAAGUAGGUAAACUUUGAAAAAUACGAUUACUGUCAGUGUCGGAAAGAAUGACCCGACUUGACCCAGAUUUGAGACAGCUGAAACCAAGUUCCAAGUUUAUUCCGGACAAGAAGUUCUGUAGACUACUCAGAGUCAGAAUCAAUGAGUAUUCUUCUCUUCGGGGCCGGUAGAUGACUGUCGACAGUGGAGUGACCCGAGUCGUUGGAAGAAAUGGUGAAAUUAAAAAACCCUCCAUAUAUGGGCCCCGAGAACAGGGUGUGCACCGUGUGCAGGGAAUGGACGUCGUGUGUGAUUUGUGACAAGUGUGACUGAUGGGAAACUAGUGCAUCUGGGAUUCUGGGUGGAUUUGACAAACACGCUUGUGGAGUGGAUAUAGAAGAUGACAGGAUUGUUGAUAUCUUGAUGUUGUGAUUCAUUAAUUGUCGAAUAACUGUUGAUGGACUGGACGUUCUUGUGGCCAGAAACUUGCAUAAUUUGAUGCGCUGGGACACCAUUGUCGGAUAAAGUUUGGAUCAUUCGCUAGCGCUGUGGUUCGUCAACCUUUUGUCUGAGGACAGUCCAGCCCUGGAUGCCAUGGUCUUCAUGAGAGAGCCUAACUUGUUUCUACCAACAGGUUGGCGUUUGAACCAGGUGUUUUCGGAUUUUACACCGAACUGUGUGUUUGUUGCAAGAUAAAAUGGACUCGCAUCAUUGCUAAAGUCUCGCGGGCGAACAUCCCGAUACAACUUGUAUACUGCUACCGGACAACAUUCACCACCAGGUUGAGCCCACGCUUUGGGUGCCAAGUCACGGGAUUGAUCACCCUGUCGUGUUUUUGACUGGCGUUCCAAAUACUGUAAAUGUUCCUUAUUAUCGGAAUCAGUUUUGAGUGUUACGUCGCCCCACUGCAUGCGUCUGUGGGGCGUGGCCGACCUCAGUCCAAAGUAGACUGUAUUGUUCCACCACAAUGUGUUUAACACAGCAUCUGGAGACUUAGUGCCAAGCUGUCCGGAUUCACGGAGUUUAUUCAGUUCCAUGUCGGACACAGGAUCAGCUCGCUGGGUUAAGAACUUUUCGAUGUCAUCAUCGUUCACAAAGGCAAACCUGUCUGCAUUCAGUCCGGUGUUUGGAUUCGGGGGGUCGAGAAAGUCGUCAAACAGCAAGUCCUCUAGCACAGACGCUGGCAGACGCAAAACUCGCAAUCUGAAUCUUGGAACUUCUAUCAGGCCAUAUGCAGUUUUGACAACAAAUACAUUAAAUGUGUUCAGAGGUUGAAUUAUGCGAAUAACUCUUCCUGUCAGAUCUCCGUCCACUUUAACGAGGUCAUUUACUUUGACAGGUGUCAAAUGGUCAGCCAUGUUUGUUUACAAACAACGCAGACGUAGUUUUCUUUUUUGUAAUUACGCUUAUUGCAAACUAAAACUCGUGCGAAAUAAUUGCUUUAUUCAUUAUAAUGUGAAAUCAUGUGGUUUAUAUAAAACUAUGUUCUAGCCUUAUAAAUCUCGAUAAAGUGAGAUUGUAGCACGUAAAACAUGUGAAUGAAUGCCCUGGAUUUGUGAAUGAACUCAUUGAGAGAAAAAUAUUCCCGUCGACCAAUGAAAAUUGACAUUUGUUUAACUGACCAAUCAGCUUCGAGAACCACUAAUUGCACACUGUGCAAAUAUCAAAAAGUUAUUACACUGCAUAUUUGAGCCCAUAUGGGUAAUAAAUAUUAAUACUCACCUGUGUUUUACAAGUUGACCUUUAUUCUAAUUGAGGACAGUUGCAGUUUUGGCCUUUGUUUCGGCAUUGCUUCUGAGCGCGAAGGCCGUAUUAUAGGCAUUCGAAAAAGGAUUUAUUGUGCCAGGACAACCUGGAGAUUAUUGCUGAGGCUCAGAUUCCCGUCAUAGGGUUGUGUAAUUAGGGUAAGUGGGAAGCGAGCGUUAGUUCAACCUGGUCUCUGUUACACAGAGUGACCGUAGCGCUACAACGAUCCCUACUUGAACAUUGCCUUCCACGGUCGUUGCUCUACAACGAUCCAUACUUGAACAUUGACUUCCACGGUCGUAGCGCUACAACGAUCCAUACUUGAACAUUGACUUCCACGGUCGUAAUGCUACAACGAUCCAUACUUGACCAUUGACUUCCACGGUCAUAGCGCUACAACGAACCAUACUUGAACAUUGACUUCCACGGCCGUAGCGCUACAACGAUCCAUACUUGAACAUUGACUUCCACGGCCGUAGCGCUACAACGAACCAUACUUGAACAUUGACUUCCACGGCCGUAGCGUCACAACGAUCCAUACUUGAAACAUUGACUUCCACGGCCGUAGCGCUACAACGAUCCAUACUUGAACAUUGACUUCCACGGCCGUAGCGCUACAACGAUCCAUACUUGAACAUUGACUUCCACGGCCGUAGCGUCACAACGAUCCAAACUUGAACAUUGACUUCCACGGCCGUAGCGCUACAACGAUCCAUACUUGAACAUUGACUUCCACGGUCGUAGUGCUACAACGAUCCCUACUUGAACAUUGACUUCCACGGCCGUAGCGCUACAACGAUCCAUACUUGAACAUUGACUUCCACGGUCGUAGCGCUACAACGAUCCCUACUUGAACAUUGACUUCCACAGUCGUAGUGCUACAACGAUCCAUACUUGAACACUGACUUCCACGGUCGUAGUGCUACAACGAUCCCUACUUGAACAUUGACUUCCACGGUCGUAGCGCUACAACGAUCCCUACUUGAACACUGACUUCCACGGUCGUAGCGCUACAACGAUCCAUACUUGACCAUUGACUUCCACGGUCGUAGCGCUACAACGAUCCAUACUUGAACAUUGACUUCCACGGCCGUAGCGCCACAACGAUCCCUACUUGAACAUUGACUUCCAUGUAGUGCUGCGAUCACUUUGUGGAACGAGGCCCUGCUACAAUUUCAGGGGGAUUCAACAGAAGUGGGAUAAGAUCUGAGGGGUCUGUGAAAAUAAGUGGAGCCUGAACUGACAAACCAGUGGAUGACAGCAUGAACAAACACACGAACGAACAAUUAGGAGCUUCAGUCGUCGAACCCAAGGUUUCUGGACUUUGUUUAAAGCCGCACUCAGCAAUAUUCCAGCUAUAUGAGGGCGUAAAUAAUCGAAUCUGGACUAGACAAUCCAGUGAUUGACAUCAUUAGCAUCAGUCUACGCAAUUUGAAUACGGUGACAUGCAUCAUCCAAGUCAGCUAUUUUGCCUUUUACACCCAAUCAAAUCUGUUUGGGCGGAUAACCACUGGUUAUUCUCUGGCGUUGACGUCUGAUAUGUACCUCACAUGCGAGUAUAUAAUCGAUAAACUGUUCGAGGUGGCGUUGAACCCUAACUCUAUACCUAGCAGCCAUUCUGAUCAGCCAGCAGUCCGCCUCUUCAACAAGAAGCAUGGGGUCUGUCCUGUUCCAGGUGUGUGGUUGAAUUGGUUGCAGUGAACAGUUUCAACGGACAGAGUCAAACAAAUAAACAGCAAAAGGUAUAAGGCUUUGAACAUAUUUUAUUAAAAUACAAAGUUUCUUCUCUAGUAGAUAAAAUGUUACUAUAAACAGUCCUGAAGAUCCAUAGUUCCACGUGGACUAUGCUCGAAGAUGAUGUAAAAAAUAAAGUUGAACAAUUUCACGUUUCUUGCAUGAUCCUCGCCACUGAAUGUCCGUUCAUAAUUCUCAAACGUGUCUAGACUGCCAAAAACGGUCAACAUGGACAAUACGGUAUAAGAAUCAUUCCUAUAGCUUCUACAUGUUUUAUAAGAUUCUUACCCCAAGUUUGUCACGUUUUGUUGAACCAAGUGACCACUCCCUCGAUCCUACAAAUCUAAAUAUAUAUGUAA